rnacentral:rRNA from 1 species
UGGGGAAUAUUGCACAAUGGGGGGAACCCUGAUGCAGCGACGCCGCGUGAGGGAAGAAGGUUUUCGGAUUGUAAACCUCUGUCUUGUGGGACGAUAAUGACGGUACCACAGGAGGAAGCCAUGGCUAACUACGUGCCAGCAGCCGCGGUAAUACGUAGAUGGCGAGCGUUGUCCGGAAUUACUGGGUGUAAAGGGAGUGUAGGCGGGAUCAUAAGUUGCGUGUGAAAUGCAGGGGCUCAACCCCUGAACUGCGCGCAAAACUGUGGUUCUUGAGUGAAGUAGAGGCAGGCGGAAUUCCCGGUGUAGCGGUGGAAUGCGUAGAUAUCGGGAGGAACACCAGUGGCGAAGGCGGCCUGCUGGGCUUUUACUGACGCUGAGGCUCGAAAGCAUGGGGAGCAAACA